rnacentral:rRNA from 1 species
AUGGCGGGAAGUAGCCACCGCCGCAUUGCGACACCGCAAUACGAGUUGGAUGCUUCCGAGUUGUUUAGUAUCAUACUUGGGACUUCAGUAUCAUCCAUGAUGCAGGAUCUGCCAAAUAAUGUGAAGCUGCGACAGGCCGACAGCGGGUUUCGCAGGCAGUGGGAUCUGGAGUUGGUGAUCAAGGAGGGCCACAUGUACUUGUCUCGUGGGUGGGAGAAGUUCUACCGUGCCUACGACCUGCGGCUGGGGUACUUCCUUCUCUUCAGGUACGACGACGACGCCACCAUGCUCAUCGUGAAGGUGUUCAACGCGACUAUUUGUCGCAUGCGCUACGCUGACGAUGAUGAUGCCGGUAAUGGGAGUAGCACAGCGAUUCUGGCAGCAGCAUAG